rnacentral:rRNA from 1 species
AACGAACGCUGGCGGCAUGCCUAACACAUGCAAGUCGAACGAGACCUUCGGGUCUAGUGGCGCACGGGUGCGUAACGCGUGGGAACCUGCCCUUAGGUUCGGGAUAACUCCCCGAAAGGGGUGCUAAUACCGGAUAAUGUCUUCGGACCAAAGAUUUAUCGCCUUUGGAUGGGCCCGCGUUGGAUUAGCUAGUUGGUGGGGUAAAAGCCUACCAAGGCGACGAUCCAUAGCUGGUCUGAGAGGAUGAUCAGCCACACUGGGACUGAGACACGGCCCAGACUCCUACGGGAGGCAGCAGUGGGGAAUAUUGGACAAUGGGCGAAAGCCUGAUCCAGCAAUGCCGCGUGAGUGAUGAAGGCCUUAGGGUUGUAAAGCUCUUUUACCCGGGAUGAUAAUGACAGUACCGGGAGAAUAAGCUCCGGCUAACUCCGUG